GAUUCUUCCAAAUAAACGCUUUGGGUUUCUUGCGCCGGUCUGGACAACAAGUGGGAAAGGCGGGUGGAGCGGCUCUCGGAGCCCGGGGGGUCUGGCCUGAAAGAUAGUGCAUUUAUGGGAGACUCUCUACAAAGAAUUGCUCCGACUGAUGAGGAUAGCAACCCCCACCCUUCCUUACAUCUUCACUUUUGCCUUGCAAAGGGACAGUCCUCAGUUGACAUCUCCAAAGUGAUUAUUAGACGCCUCUGUGAUAAAUCAGGUUGGGGGGGGGGAGAGUAGGGGAGCAGGAAUAAGGCCAGGCUACACACACACACACACACACACACACACACACACACACACAGUGUCUGGCUAACGCUGUAUGACUGCCCGACAGCCCUUUUCAAUUUUUCCACCAACACCCCUGAAAUAGCACAUUGCCUCAACAACCUCUCUUGUUUGUCUCUCUCUGUGUGUGCUCAGAAAAAAUCUUUAAAAUUCCUGUCCACGGAUUUCCCUCUCCUGCCUCUCUUUCUCAUCCCCUCUAGCUCCAACCCCACCCCACCCCAAAGAGCCUCGGAGCCCUUCUUCCCUGAUAAGUUGUAAGAACUUUGCUUUCAAGAGUGUGAAAUGAAGAACACAGACAGUAUAUCAGUGAAAAGAAUAAAGUGGCCUUUUAAUGAGAACUAAAGACAACAAAAACGUAGAUGAAGUGUACCGUAAAGACUGUUUCAAAGUGCAGCUCAAUCCCCUGAGAGCAACCAUCCCAUAGGCUGGGUAAUUGGGACUUUACUGCGCAGAGCUGGGGAACCCCACCACGGAGCAGGUUUCAUGGGUAAGAAAAUCUGGACUAGAACAGGCGAUAGAGAUGAAACCACCCAAAGAGAGCAGCCUUCUCCCUGCCCUACGCACCCCCCGCUCCCCCAAUAUAGUUCUCCUUUUUUCCAAGGAACUUCAAGAGCUGGACAGAGCCCGAAGGAGACAGAGCUGAUUUCAGUGGCCACCAUUCUGCCCCGUAUUUCCCACGGAUCUCACAGAACGGGAAGCUCAGACCUCGGGAAAAAAGAAACUAGAGGAGGAAGGGGAAAGACCCCCCCCCCUUUUCCUAUAGGGAGUUAGGCAAGCAAACACUAGAGCUGGUGCAUCGGAUCCUUGUGGUUGUUACGACGGACACGUUCUGAGACCCCAGUUAGCUUCAAGCCAUGUUAAUCUCAAGGAUCUGAAUGGCCGGGGAGAGGUGGGUGGGGAGGUUUUUUGGGAAGGAUGCAAGGUUAGCUGAGAUGUUGAAUACUGGGCUUCUAAAAGGGGAAUGUCGAAAGAUGCUUGGCCAGUUGAAAGGCGAGUGGGCGCCAGAAGCCUGUUCUGAAGGGUGGGCGCAUCUGGAGACAAUCUUUCACAGCCCAGACACUUCACAACAACAGCACAAGAGCGACGGGUGACAUUUGGGCUUCUGAUACUCCGCAGGAACAUUUCUCGAGCAGGUGGCAAUAAAGAGCUGUGAAGGCAAAGGUGCGCCUUAUUUGUCUUAGUCGCCUCUUCCUAACCCGCGACGAUUUCCACGAAGCCUCGAUAAUGACUCUCCCUUUAUUAGAGAGCCUUCCGCGCGCUUGCAGAGUGGCAACAAUUUCUCUUCCUCACAGUCAUUUGGUGUCUUUGUUUAAUUUUGCAGAACUAAUGUAAACAUGGCUUGCAAAUACCCAGAGGUGGAUUAUUUGGUUUAUUCUCUCUGCUCCCCCCCCACACCCUUUCCUCUCCCUCCACCAUCCUUUUUUUUAAAAAAGAAAGAAAGCCACAGAAGAUUAAUCGAACAGCAAAGAUUACGAGGAUGGAAUAUGCCCUGCCUUUGUUUUGUAGUCCUUCGAAAGCCAUGCAAAUACACAUCGAAGGGCGUUGCUUCCCUUGAGCGACGUGGCCACCGCCUGGCAUCUUAAGUUUGUGAAAAUAUAUUACAUCUAUUUCACGGAGCGUUUAAACGCCUGCAUUUCAUCGGACCAGCAAAGCAACCAAGCAGCCACCAACCACCUUGGCUAUACUGGGGUGUGGUGGAGAUGCAAGGAUAGAACAGUCAGGGGACCUGGUGACUUUUGUCCUUUCUGUACUGCUCAAUUGACUUCUCUCACUCUUUCCCCAUCCCUAAAAACGAGAGCUGGAGAUAACGAGCAGAGAAAAAGUUAUUAAGCGCCUGGCAGGUGCGUGUACCUCGGUUGUAUACAUCCCAGGGACCAGAUAGUGCUAGUAGUAUCUGACCUUGAUUAGGGGAAACCUGCCUGUCCUAAAUACUCAGAAGCGAAGCGCAAACGACACGGAGCCGAGUUGCUCUUUCAGAAGCAGGGAGGGAAAGGGCAGAGCCCUGCGAAACACUGAACGGAGUGCGGAUUGUCUGCUGGGGGCGGGGGGGGGAGCUCUGCUCAGGUGAAACUGACGAGGCAGUGUAAGUUUCCUGCUCAGUCUCUCUCUCGCUUCUCUCUCUCUCCCCCCCUCUUUUUCUAUGACUGCCCGAAGGGCCUCGCCGAUUCCUCGCCUUUGAUUCUCCGUUUGUUUGCUAGAUGGCGCUGUGUCUUUCAAUACAUUCCGAUUCAGAGCUAAAACGGCCCCUUUUCGUAUAUCCUCCCCCAGAUAAAUCAGAUUACCUACCCCCGCUUCGUUCUGCGAGGAACGCACUUUAGUUCCAGCAAAAAAGAAAAAGUGCUAUUAAAUAAUGUUAAGAAUCAUACAGAAUCAUCAUAUAAAUAUCCCGAUUGAAAUAAAAGGCAGCCUGCAAGCAAAAUCUGAACUAUGGCGUCUUUACUCUCUGCCAAUUCAUGUUGUAAUCAUGUUGUAAUCUACUUAAUGAUUUCCCUCCUUUUUGGUGGCUGGACCAAAAUGUAGCUAAUUUGUAUUUGGGGAAACCUAAUAAAAAAAAGCAACACACAACCCGGAGAUUUGAUACAUGUUUUCAUUAGUUGCAGGCAAUGUAAAUACGCACAAGAGAUCUAGCUUCACCAGAAAUAGAAACUGGUCGUAUUAAGUUAGCCUCCUUGUCACUCUUUCAUGAAUAGAUCAAAACAAUUAUGAGCGAUUUAAAGUGAAAAUGCCACAAAAUCAAAUGUACGUUCUCUUUUCAUCUUUUUUUUAAGGUUUGUAAAGCCUGGGGGGUCUGUUUCUGUAUCUCCUACAGUCUAAAUUUAUUCUGCAAAAUUACCUUCCGUGUUCUAAAUUUAUUCAUUUCAUUAAAGUAAGAAAACUGUUUAGAAAUUUAAAAGCCUCGGUUGUUUCUAUUGAUUAUAUGAUUAGGGAUUCAUUAUAUGGAAACUCCUCUCCUUAGAAAAAGUAAUCUGAAAGUUUUGUAUUGACAGGUACAUGUAUUAGAGUAUAAAGUACUUUCAAUUUAUUAUUAAUUCCAGAUUUCAAAUACUAUUAUUGUGAUCAUCGUUACGUUUAUAGAAACAGGAAGAGCGUAUUCUUAAGUGUUAAAACAGCAAUGCAUAUUAAAGACGUUCCUUUUUCAGAA